UACGGGGGGAGCAAGCGUUGUUCGGAUUUACUGGGCGUAAAGGGCGCGUAGGCGGCCAGCACAAGUCAGUUGUGAAAUCUCCGAGCUUAACUCGGAAAGGUCAACUGAUACUGUGCGGCUAGAGUGCGGAAGGGGCAACUGGAAUUCUUGGUGUAGCGGUGAAAUGCGUAGAUAUCAAGAGGAACACCUGCGGCGAAGGCGGGUUGCUGGGCCAGUUCUGACGCUGAGGAGCGAAAGCGUGGGGAGCGAACAGG
rnacentral:rRNA from 1 species